rnacentral:rRNA from 1 species
AACGUAGGAGGCGAGCGUUAUCCGGAUUUACUGGGUGUAAAGCGCGUGUAGGCGGUCCUGCAAGUGGCGCGUGAAAGUGCCCGGCUCAACCGGGCGAGGACGUGACCUAACUGCGGGGCUAGAGGCAGGUAGAGGCGUGUGGAAUUCCGGGUGUAGUGGUGAAAUGCGUAGAGAUCCGGAGGAACACCAGUGGCGAAGGCGACACGCUGGGCCUGACCUGACGCUGAGGCGCGAAAGUGUGGGGAGCAAACAGGAUUAGAUACCCGUGUAGU